UGACAGUCUAGGCAUUAAUCAUGGUGCCUUAUAUUAAUCUAGUACGAAAGUCACCACCUUUAGAAACUUUCAUUUAUCAUACUUCCCUGUGUAAGCAAAUCACAAGGGAUUUGCAGUAGUUCCAUCAUUCCAAGGCUAGGAUUUUACUACAAAUACAGUAAUGAACAUUUCAAGCCUUGGACAGCCUGAUUUUAAAAGCAAUGGCUGUAUACUACUACUUGAGAUUUCAGUGUGCUUUGAUACAGAGAGUAGCAGCCAUUCUUUCCUUGAUAAAUACGUGCUAGAGACAGGGGAAGAAGUUUCAUCUGGGAAGAGGGGGAUAGCAUACAUGUCAUUAAACCUGGCCACAGGUUUUUCCAUACCUGUUGUGGCUGCCACCAUUUUUCAUCUUGUUUUUCACUCCUCCAUCUGCCAGGAAUGAGGAGAUCAGCAGGAGGAGAUCAGCUGAAGGAGAUGGAGAA
rnacentral:lncRNA from 1 species